CCCUGCUGAGAGGUGGGGGUGCCCGAAAGGGAGCCUGGACACAGGUGCUGCAUGGCUGUCGUCAGCUCGUGUCGUGAGAUGUUGGGUUAAGUCCCGCAACGAGCGCAACCCUUGUCAUUAGUUGCCAUCAUUUGGUUGGGCACUCUAAUGAGACUGCCGGUGACAAACCGGAGGAAGGUGGGGAUGACGUCAAGUCCUCAUGGCCCUUAUGGGUAGGGCUUCACACGUCAUACAAUGGUCGGUACAGAGGGUUGCCAAGCCGCGAGGUGGAGCCAAUCCCAGAAAGCCGAUCGUAGUCCGGAUCGCAGUCUGCAACUCGACUGCGUGAAGUCGGAAUCGCUAGUAAUCGUGGAUCAGCAUGCCACGGUGAAUACGUUCCCGGGUCUUGUACACACCGCCCGUCACACCAUGGGAGUGGGUUUCACCAGAAGUAGGUAGCCUAACCGCAAGGGGGGCGCUUACCACGGUGGGAUUCAUGACUGGGGUGAAGUCGUAACAAGAUAACCUUAAUUAAAAA
rnacentral:rRNA from 1 species